GAUGAACGCUGGCGGCGUGCCUAACACAUGCAAGUCGAACGGAGUCCAGCCUUUAAGACCUUCGGGUCAAAGAGGGGAAGACUGAGUGGCGGACGGGUGAGUAACACGUGGGCAACCUGGCUCAUAGAGGGGGAUAACAGAGAGAAAUUUCUGCUAAUACCGCAUAAGCACACACUGCCGCAUGGCAGAGGGUGAAAAGAGAAUCGCUAUGAGAUGGACCCGCGUCUGAUUAGCCAGUUGGCAGGGUAAUAGCCUACCAAAGCGACGAUCAGUAGCCGAUCGGAGAGGAGGAACGGCCACAUUGGGACUGAGACACGGCCCAAACUCCUACGGGAGGCAGCAGUGGGGGAUAUUGCACAAUGGGGGGAACCCUGAUGCAGCGACGCCGCGUGAGUGAAGAAGUAUUUCGGUAUGUAAAGCUCUAUCAGCAGGGAAGAUAAUGACAGUACCUGAAUAAGAAGCCCCGGCUAACUACGUG
rnacentral:rRNA from 1 species